AGUAACACGUGGGCAACCUGCCUAUAAGACUGGGAUAACUUCGGGAAACCGGAGCUAAUACCGGAUACGUUCUUUUCUCGCAUGAGAGAAGAUGGAAAGACGGUUUACGCUGUCACUUAUAGAUGGGCCCGCGGCGCAUUAGCUAGUUGGUGAGGUAAUGGCUCACCAAGGCGACGAUGCGUAGCCGACCUGAGAGGGUGAUCGGCCACACUGGGACUGAGACACGGCCCAGACUCCUACGGGAGGCAGCAGUAGGGAAUCUUCCGCAAUGGACGAAAGUCUGACGGAGCAACGCCGCGUGAACGAAGAAGGCCUUCGGGUCGUAAAGUUCUGUUGUUAGGGAAGAACAAGUACCAGAGUAACUGCUGGUACCUUGACGGUACCUAACCAGAAAGCCACGGCUAACUACGUGCCAGCAGCCGCGGUAAUACGUAGGUGGCAAGCGUUGUCCGGAAUUAUUGGGCGUAAAGCGCGCGCAGGUGGUUCCUUAAGUCUGAUGUGAAAGCCCACGGCUCAACCGUGGAGGGUCAUUGGAAACUGGGGAACUUGAGUGCAGAAGAGGAAAGUGGAAUUCCAAGUGUAGCGGUGAAAUGCGUAGAGAUUUGGAGGAACACCAGUGGCGAAGGCGACUUUCUGGUCUGUAACUGACACUGAGGCGCGAAAGCGUGGGGAGCAAACAGGAUUAGAU
rnacentral:rRNA from 1 species